UACGGAGGAUGCAAGUGUUAUCCGGAAUCACUGGGCGUAAAGCGUCUGUAGGUGGUUUGCUAAGUCUGCUGUUAAAGCUUGAAGCUCAACUUCAAAAAUGCAGCAGAAACUAGUAGACUUGAGUAUGGUAGGGGUAGAGGGAAUUUCCAGUGAAGUGGUGAAAUGCGUAGAUAUCGUUUGGAACGCCAAUGGUGAAAACAACUUGCUGGGGGUGUGCUGACGCUGAGACACGAAAGCCAGGGGAGCAAACGGG
rnacentral:rRNA from 1 species